rnacentral:misc_RNA from 1 species
UUACCCGACGGGGCAUGCAAAUGCCACGACGAGAGUCGUUCAGUUGGGACAAAAUCGCUAGCUAUUAUGGGCAUAGACAAGACAUUGUCGUCCUCCCCAAUGCAUAUUCCGCAUCCGAGAGCUCAAGCGAGCGUUAAUGGGCCAACACAACUGCGAUCGCAAUUUGAGUUAUGUGGGACACAAACGACGCUUCGAGGUUCACCGCGGCAAAAGCCCGUGGCAAAACAGGCGGACGCCGGGUGAAUGAUACACGAUUGGGCAGCAUAAUUCCGUAUAGUAGGCAUGCAACACAGGAAACCAAAGAAAAUAGGUGGCCAAGGCAAGGUGCUCUUGUACCAUCAAAUGAAGAGGAACGCACGGCCGAUCGUCACCGCCACAACA